ACGGGGAGCAGCAGGCGCGAAACCUUCGCAAUGCGUGAAAGCGUGACGAGGGGAUCCCAAGUGCCCUCGCACUGCGGGGGCUUUUCUGGAGUCUAGCGUGCUCUAGGUAAUAAGGGCUGGGAAAGACCGGUGCCAGCCGCCGCGGUAACACCGGCAGCCCGAGUGGUGACCACUUUUAUUGGGCUUAAAGCGUCCGUAGCCGGGCUCACAAGCCCCUGGUUAAAUUCUACGGCUUAACCGUAGAUUUGCUGGGGGAACUGUAAGCCUUGGGGCCGGAAGAGGCCGAGGGUACUCCCGGGGUAGUGGUAAAAUGCUAUAAUCCUGGGGGGACCACCAAAAGCGAAAGCACCCGGCUUGGACGGGCCCGACGGUGAGGGACGAAGGCCAGGGGAGCGAACCGGAUUAGAUACCCGGGUAGUCCUGGCUGUAAACAAUGUGGACUAAGUGUCUCCGAGACCACGAGUCUCGGAGGCGCUGAAGUGAAAUCAUUAAGUCCACCGCCUGGGAAGUACGGCCGCAAGACUGAAACUUAAAGGAAUUGGCGGGGGAGCAC
rnacentral:rRNA from 1 species